ACGGGCCCCGCACAAGCAGCGGAGCGUGUGGUUUAAUUCGAUGCUACACGAAGAACCUUUACCAGGGUUUGACAUGCAAGUGGUAGGAAACCGAAAGGUGACCGACCCUUCGGGGAGCUUGCACAGGUGCUGCAUGGCUGUCGUCAGCUCGUGUCGUGAGAUGUUCGGUUAAGUCCGCUAACGAGCGCAACCCUCGCUGUGUGUUAUAUGUGUCACACGGGACUGCCGGUCUUAAGCCGGAGGAAGGUGGGGAUGAUGUCAAGUCAGCAUGGCCUUUAUAUCCUGGGCUACACACACGCUACAAUGGCCAGCACAGUAGGUUGCUAAGCCGCGAGGUGGAGCCAAUCCAUAAAGCUGGUCUCAGUUCAGAUUGCAGGCUGCAACCCGCCUGCAUGAAGUCGGAAUCGCUAGUAAUCGCAGGUCAGCAUACUGCGGUCGAAUACGUUCCCGGGCCUU
rnacentral:rRNA from 1 species